UCCUACGGGGGGCAGCAGUGAGGAAUAUUGGUCAAUGGGCGGGAGCCUGAACCAGCCAAGUCGCGUGAGGGAAGACGGUCCUAUGGAUUGUAAACCUCUUUUGUCGGGGAGCAAAGAGACCACGUGUGGUCAAAAGCGAGAGUACCCGAAGAAAAAGCAUCGGCUAACUCCGUGCCAGCAGCCGCGGUAAUACGGAGGAUGCGAGCGUUAUCCGGAUUUAUUGGGUUUAAAGGGUGCGUAGGCGGGACGGUAAGUCAGCGGUCAAAUACGGGGGCUCAACCUGCGUCCGCCGUUGAAACUGGCGG
rnacentral:rRNA from 1 species